GUAGGCGGUUUGUCACGUCUGCUGUGAAAUCCCGAGGCUCAACCUCGGUCUGCAGUGGGUACGGGCAGACUGGAGUGCGUAGGGGAGAAUGGAAUUCCUGGUGUAGCGGUGGAAUGCGCAGAUAUCAGGAGGAACACCGAUGGCGAAGGCAGUUCUUUGGGCCGUAACUGACGCUGAGGAGCGAAAGCGUGGGGAGCGAACAGGAUUAGAUACCCUGGUAGUCCACGCCGUAAACGUUGGGCGCUAGAUGUGGGGACCUUUCCACGGUUUCCGUGUCGUAGCUAACGCAUUAAGCGCCCCGCCUGGGGAGUACGGCCGCAAGGCUAAAACUCAAAGGAAUUGACGGGGGCCCGCACAAGCGGCGGAGCAUGCGGAUUAAUUCGAUGCAACGCGAAGAACCUUACCAAGGCUUGACAUAACCGAGAACGCCGCAGAAAUGUGGAACUCUUUGGACACUCGGUUACAGGUGGUGCAUGGUUGUCGUCAGCUCGUGUCGUGAGAUGUUGGGUUAAGUCCCGCAACGAGCGCAACCCUCGUCGUAUGUUGCCAGCACGUGAUGGUGGGAACUCAUAUGAGACUGCCGGGGUCAACUCGGAGGAAGGUGGGGAUGACGUCAAAUCAUCAUGCCCCUUAUGUCUUGGGCUUCACGCAUGCUACAAUGGCCGGUACAAAGGGCUGCGAUGUCGUAAGGCGGAGCGAAUCCCAAAAAGCCGGUCUCAGUUCGGAUUGAGGUCUGCAACUCGACCUCAUGAAGUCGGAGUCGCUAGUAAUCGCAGAUCAGCAACGCUGCGGUGAAUACGUUCCCGGGCCUUGUACACACCGCCCGUCAAGUCAUGAAAGUCGGUAACACCCGAAGCCAGUGGCCUAACCGCAAGGAGGGAGCUGUCGAAGGUGGGAUCGGUGAUUAGGACUAAGUCGUAACAAGGUAGCCGUACCGGAAGG
rnacentral:rRNA from 1 species